AAGGGAUUGUUGGCGCACGGGUGAGUAAUGCUAGAUGACUGCCCUUUAGUUUGGGAUAGCCACUAGAAAUGGUGAUUAAUACCAAAUAUUACCCUACGGGGGAAAGAUUUAUCGCUAAAGGAUUGGUCUAUGUCCUAUCAUUCUUGUUGGUGGGGUAAAGGCUCACCAAGGCUAUGACGGGUAUCCGGCCUGAGAGGGUGAACGGGCACACUGGAACUGAGACACGGUCCAGACUCCUACGGGAGGCAGCAGUAGGGAAUAUUGCUUUUUUGGGGGAAACCCUGAAGCAGCAACGCCGCGUGGAGGAUGAAGGUUUUAGGAUUGUAAACUCCUUUUGUGAGAGAAGAUC
rnacentral:rRNA from 1 species